AACUGUGUCAUCCUCUGACAUAUGAUGUGGUUAGCUGAUACUUAAAAUACCUAUCAAGGCGAUGUAAGAUCUGGCAGACUUCAGCAACAUCUAAGCUUUGGAAAGUGGCUGAAGUCUGUUUGGACGCAAUCACAAUUGCUGGCAAAACGGCUGACCUGAUUGGUGAAAAGACCAAUUAGUGGGAAAAAGAUCAGAAUUUGGCAGCUACAGACGACUGAACAUGUAUGAAAUGUAAUAUGCGUUCAUCAAUUGUCUGUUUUUUUGUAAGUUGUUGAACUGAAUUUGGUCUCUUUCUUUUGUCGUCCAAUUCUCCCUCUGUUGUUCACCAUACGGCAACGGAUGACUGCACCUAAUCACAUUUGGGAAAUUGAACCAAUGGAAAUGAAGUUCAUUGGCUGACAGCUGUACAUAAUUAGCCAGCCAGGGUAGAAGGGUCUGGGAUUCCUUUAUGAGGUGCAACCAAAACAGCUGUUAGAAAUAGCAACCGGGAUAUUCUGGCAGGCUGUCGAGAAUUAGUUCUUGAAUACUGUUGUGGUUUUGAUCACUAAAAUGGCUGUGACUUUUGGACUCUCUUUGAGUGUUUCUUGGAUUUGUUGCCUGCUAAUUGGAGGGAUAACUUGUUUUACACUUAAAGGUAACGCUCAUGGGCAUCCUGCCUACACUGGACCUGAACCAACUGGAUCCUAUGCCCAAGCAAGUGUGGUGUCUGGUCCAAAUGCUAAAGCUACUGGCCACAAUGCCACGUCAGCAGAAGCUACUGGCCACAAUGCCACGUCAGCAGAAGCUACUGGCCACAAUGCCACGUCAGCAGAAGCUACUGGCCACAAUGCCACGUCAGCAGAAGCUACUGGCCACAAUGCCAUGUCAAGUGUAAAGUCCGGCCCCGGCGCCUCAGUAGAAGCAACAGGCCCCGGCGCCUCAGCAGAAGCAACAGGCCCCGGCGCCUCAGCGGUAGCGUCCGGCCCCGGCGCCUCAGCAGAAGCAACAGGCCCCGGCGCCUCAGCAGAAGCAACAGGCCCCGGCGCCUCAGCAGAAGCAACAGGCCCCGGCGCCUCAGCAGAAGCAACAGGCCCCGGCGCCUCAGCAGUAGCGUCCGGCCCCGGCGCCUCAGCAGUAGCGACAGGCCCCGGCGCCUCAGCAGAAGCGACAGGCCCCCGCGCCUCGUCAGCAGAAGCUACUGGCCACAAUGUCACGUCAGCAGAAGCUACUGGCCACAAUGCCACGUCAGCAGAAGCUACUGGCCACAAUGCCAUGUCAAGUGUAAAGUCCGGCCCCGGCGCCUCAGUGGUAGCGUCCGGCCCCGGCGCCUCAGUGGUAGCGUCCGGCCCCGGCGCCUCAGCGGAAGCAACAGGCCCCGGCGCCUCAGCAGAAGCGGCAGGCCCCGGCGCCUCAGCAGAAGCGACAAGCCUUGAACAGACGGCCCGACCACUCAACUAGGGAGAUCAUAAUUUGGUUUGGCCAACUCUUUAAUCGUCUUAUCCCUGUUACCUUUACCCUUUUCUGCAAGAGGCACAGUAACUGAGGUGGGGAAAUGUGUGAACUAAUGCACUUGUUUGAAAUGAGGAUCUCCUUCACUUGUACAUCGUCAUGCAAAUUGUAUACAGAGGUGGAUGAUACAAUGUUAUGAAUCGUUUUUAUAAACAUACGACUAAAUUGACUUCUGUAUGUAGCGAUAUUGCUGACACACUUUUAGGUUCUACGGUUAUGCUUUUGAUUUAGCCUGGUGUUCCUGCUACUCUUGCAUGAUUUGCUCAAUAAACCAUUUGACUUUCAAAAAACCUUGUCCUUAAAAUAUAAUCUCUUCUGCCUACCAUGUGCUUGCUGUUUGGUAACAGACUGUGGGCCUGGAGUAAAAGGGAAUUUGCGUUUUUGUUAUACACUUGUCUAAACAGAUUUGUUUCUGGUAGUUUGUUCUAAAGUUUUCUAACUUGUCAGAGCUCCCUCAUAUGUUCAUACACUACCUGUCCCUUAGUGUAGGCUGUUUGCUUUACAGUAAUCUGCCUUUUUCCACCAAUGCCUAAAGAAUGUGAAUGCAGUGUAACUCAUCGUCCCAUUACCUGUCACUAACCUGUCCCAGGGACGCUGAAGUUUCUCCUUGACCUUAUUCAGAAACAUUAAAUCAACUUGAUACAUUCUGACUGUUCUACAAUGUUGGUCUGGCCAGACACAUGGAUGCACUCAUAUGCGUUCAUUUAUUUCAGCUGUGAAAAGUACUCCACUUGAAGUCGUUCAGACAUUCCUUAUGUCAACUCUCAAUGUGGUCUUCUGCACAAUCCAUUUCUACCUGACCACAAUGAGGUUGCACUCGCAGAAGCCCCUGACAGGAACUUCAAUAGAUUUUAUAAAGGGGUUCUUAAGCUCUCACUUUGUACAACAUCUAGAGACAUAAAUAUGAAUUUGUUCUUAAGCCUGGCUGGUGACUUGCUUUUUUUGGUAUCAAGGUUUCCAACAAUUUCAAGAAACACUUAGCGUUCUGACAUUUUAGGACUGUCAAGCAACUAACCUCAGGGGGAAAAAAACAUCCUCACUGUCAGCUUUGUAAUUUUCAGCAAACUUGAUGGACAAAAAUGUGUAUGAACAUAAGAUUCAACAACAAACUGAACAAGUUCCACAAACAUGUGACUAACAAAUGGAAUAAUGUGUCCAGGAACAAAGGGGGGGUCAAAAGUAACUAUCUGUUGUGGACACCA
ensembl:lncRNA